GAUGAACGCUGGCGGUGUGCCUAAUACAUGCAAGUCGAGCGAACAGACGAGGAGCUUGCUCCUCUGACGUUAGCGGCGGACGGGUGAGUAACACGUGGAUAACCUACCUAUAAGACUGGGAUAACUUCGGGAAACCGGUGCUAAUACUGGAUAAUAUAUUGAACCGCAUGGUUCAAUAGUGAAAGACGGUUUUGCUGUCACUUAUAGAUGGAUCCGCGCCGCAUUAGCUAGUUGGUAAGGUAACGGCUUACCAAGGCAACGAUGCGUAGCCGACCUGAGAGGGUGAUCGGCCACACUGGAACUGAGACACGGUCCAGACUCCUACGGGAGGCAGCAGUGGGGAAUCUUCCGCAAUGGGCGAAAGCCUGACGGAGCAACGCCGCGUGAGUGAUGAAGGUCUUCGGAUCGUAAAACUCUGUUAUUAGGGAAGAACAAAUGUGUAAGUAACUAUGCACGUCUUGACGGUACCUAAUCAGAAAGCCACGGCUAACUACGUG
rnacentral:rRNA from 1 species